CCAAUAGCGUAUAUUAAAGUUGUUGCAGUUAAAAAGCUCGUAGUUGAACUUCGGGGUUCACCCAUUGGUCAGGCUUAAUUGUCUGCACUGGUGAGAUGAGUCUCUACCUUCUGAGGAACUUUCAUGCCAUUUAUUUGGUGUGAUUGGAAAUCAGGACUGUUACUUUGAAAAAAUUAGAGUGUUUAAAGCAGGCUAACGUCUGAAUACAUUAGCAUGGAAUAAUGAAAUAGGACGGACUGAUUCUAUUUCGUUGGUUUCUAGGAUCACCGUAAUGAUUAAUAGGGAUAGUUGGGGGCAUUAGUAUUCAAUUGGCAGAGGUGAAAUUCUUGGAUUUAUUGAAGACUAACUACUGCGAAAGCAUUUGCCGAGGAUGUUUUCAUUAAUCAAGAACGAAAGUUAGGGGAUCGAAGACGAUCAGAUACCGUCGUAGUCUUAACCAUAAACUAUGCCGACUAGGGAUCGGACGAAGUUAAUUUUAUAAUGACGCGUUCGGCACCUUACG
rnacentral:rRNA from 1 species